UACGGGGGGGGCAAGCGUUGUUCGGAAUUACUGGGCGUAAAGGGCGCGUAGGCGGCCUGUUAAGUCGAACGUGAAAUCCCCGGGCUCAACCCGGGAACUGCGUCCGAUACUGGCAGGCUUGAAUCCGGGAGAGGGAUGCGGAAUUCCAGGUGUAGCGGUGAAAUGCGUAGAUAUCGAGAGGAACACCUGCGGCGAAGGCGGGUUGCUGGGCUGACACUGACGCUGAUGCGCGAAAGCUAGGGGAGCGAACGGG
rnacentral:rRNA from 1 species